UGGAGCAGGGGCUUCCAACCAACCCAGGAGCUCUCUCCCACUUUAAUGUUUAGACUGGAGGAAGCCGCGCUUGAAAAUCAGGACUGGAGCUGAGGGUGGAGCAACACGGUGGCAUAACGUGGCAUCCCAAGGACUUGAGUGAUAACCAGGACAUUUUGUAACCACAUCUUAUCCAAGGCGGCUCCAUUCAUUCUGUGUGACUGCGGCUGCUGCAGGGGAAGCCAGGGGCUGCUGAGGAGCAGGAGGAGGAGGAGGAUGCUGGAGCUGUGUGUGCAUGGGAGAGCGUGGGCCCGGCGCUCCUCUCAGCGGGCCAACAAAAGCCUGGCUCAUAAACACAAUUUAAGCUGAUUUUGAUUCGUCAGCGUGGAUGCAGCAUCACUUGAAACCACACAAAUUAAAGUUCAUUUCGUG